ACAGUGGUUUUCUAGGGUUCCGCAAUGCAAAUUGGACUGUGACCGAGAGAAAACACAUAGCAGCUUGGCUGUUAUGACACGGUGGGAUAAAAGCCCAGGAGUU
rnacentral:sRNA from 16 species